CGCAGCCUUUUUACAGCAUAGU
rnacentral:snRNA from 1 species